AGGCAACGUUACCCUUCAGUCGAGGAGGGAAGGCGGAACUUGUUUAGCUUGGCAUAAUUCCGAAAUGGCGACAAUAUUGUGUUGAUUUUAUCUGUGAACUCGUGGACGACGAACACCUAUUUUUUUAUGAGUUUCACGACUGUUGUGUCAUCCAUUGUGAUAUCAGGCAUUCGCAAAGAAUGUCAGCGUGCUGCAGUGACGAUGAUUGGUGUAAAUCAACAGAUCCACCAGGGAACUCCAGGGGAGUAUGAAAGGAGAUCGUAAAGCGCUGUCGCCGGGUUUUGCGUAACCCCAGACUCGUGGGUUUUUGUGGUGGGUUGGGUAGUUUUCGAUUUUGAAUCUGCCUUUGUGCCUCCCUCCUUCGGCUUCUUCGAGGGACUGGGCCGAUUCUCAAAAGUUCGAAGGGUC